GACGAACGCUGGCGGCGUGCUUAACACAUGCAAGUCGAACGGAAAGGCCCUGCUUUUGUGGGGUGCUCGAGUGGCGAACGGGUGAGUAACACGUGAGUAACCUGCCCUUGACUUUGGGAUAACUUCAGGAAACUGGGGCUAAUACCGGAUAGGAGCUCCUGCUGCAUGGUGGGGGUUGGAAAGUUUCGGCGGUUGGGGAUGGACUCGCGGCUUAUCAGCUUGUUGGUGGGGUAGUGGCUUACCAAGGCUUUGACGGGUAGCCGGCCUGAGAGGGUGACCGGCCACAUUGGGACUGAGAUACGGCCCAGACUCCAACGGGAGGCAGCAGUGGGGAAUAGUGCACAAUGGGCGGAAGCGUGAUGCAGCAACGCCGCGUGCGGGAUGACGGCCUUCGGGUUGUAAACCGCUUUCGCCUGUGACGAAGCGUGAGUGACGGUAAUGGGUAAAGAAGCACCGGCUAACUACGUG
rnacentral:rRNA from 1 species